rnacentral:lncRNA from 1 species
CAGUUUUUUGAAGAAAAAAACAAUUAAAAAGAAAAAGCUACUGUCUGCAACCGAAUGGAUUCAACUUCAAGGAGACACCAAGGGGACUCUUCUUUGUCUUCCUCAAACACCACACAGCAUGCUGCUUCGUUUUUGCAUAACAUGGGUUAUUUCAUCUUUUAAUGUUUAAAAAAUGUGUCUCUCUUUUCAUCUUUGCAACAAAGAACUUCACACCCGAUCCGACAAAAACACCUCAAUUUUACUUCUUCGUCCCAUAAUAUAUAUUUGCUAUAAUUUGUCCACAGUGCAAAGAAUCUCAGCAGCUCUUCUUCACUUACAGCGAUUUUGUCAAGCUCGACGACGAAGGCGGUUGCUGCCGCUUUAUCUGUAAAUAGUGAUUUGGGC